CAAAACACUGUCAUUGAUUUGAUCUCGUGCAGUCCUUUGUUGCAAUGAAUGACAAAUCUUUCUUCCCAGUUCUCGAGCACCGGCAUUCCUCUCGCUCCAUUCGUCCUGUCCGUUAUGCGUGAUAAUUGCCUUGCUUUCAUAAAUUGUUGCUUAUUAAGAGCAGCAUGGCAUCUUUUAUUUUUAUGUCUUGAUUUUUAGUCGAUGGUGAUUUUAUGGUUAUGCAUUUACACACUGAAGGGCGUGGCAUGAUGGAACUACAGACAAAGCCAUAAAACAAAGGUGAGCGUCAUGGACAGGUGCUGCAAGGGAAAAAAAUAGCACCUAAUGCAUCCUUUAUGCAUAAUGCAUACAUCCAUAUUUAUUUAAUCGAAAAGUGGGCUUGCCUCAUAAGUUAAUGUGACAGAUCUACAGUAUAUGAAGAUGGAGCUCCAGUUGCAUGAACAAAGACAUGGAUUCCAAUCCCAAUAUAUUUAUGUCUACAGAUGCACAAAACCCAGCCCAGCGCUAGGCCUCAUUCUGAGCUAAAUUCUGGCUUUGGGAAUCCACAUUUCGCUUUGUCUCAUUGACAUACUACAAAGUAGCCGAAUCCAUUGGAUUUGCUUGAGAGCCUCUGACUUGGUUUGUGAUGAAUGUUUUUUUUUAUGUCUGAAUACAAUCAUACACAUUACUGUGAUAUUUAAAUAAUAAUAAGGGAGAGAAAAAUAGAAGCACACACAUUUGAACCCGUGAAAUGUCAUCUGAAUCCCACAGGUUAUUUGUAUAAUUAUGUGCUCUGACAGGAGAGCUCGUCCAUUAUAUUGCUAGUCUCAGCAAUGUUUCGGUCCAAUUAGGUUGAUGUUUAGAAUGCACAUCUUAAAUCACAACUGCCCUCAGCAAAAACUGAAGACAAAUGUUUGUACCUAAGAGGAUAACCAUGUACACUGACAAAUUACGUAAGCUAAUAUGAACAGGUUGUGGACUUUUUUCAGAGCAGCAUGGACAAAGGUUGGCUUAAAUUUGAUUUUGUUAAAUGAUUAGGUUUGUGAGAAUAUUGUGUGUCUAUAAUGGCUGUUUUUUUUUCCAGUCACGUGUACAUCAUCUCAUUGAGCAGUGAAAAGAAUAAUAUUUGAUGCAAAAGUUACCGGUCAUUAUCGCAAAAUAAACUGGCUGAUUAGGAUGCUGAUGUAGAGUGACUAAUUAAAUAAACAAACUGACAUGAAAUACAUACAUACACUACCCUUCAAAAGUUUUGGAGAAUUUUUUUUCAGUAAUUUUUU